rfam:Punctularia strigosozonata HHB-11173 SS5 unplaced genomic scaffold PTNSTscaffold_4, whole genome shotgun sequence.
GGCCGCCUGGCGAAAUGGCAUCGCGUCUGACUACGAUCAUUCGUUGUAAUCAGGAGAUUGCAGGUUCGACCCCUGCGGUGGUCA